AUGGAUCCCGCCUCUUCACCUGCUCUGAAAACAGACGCUCGUCUGAAGCUGAAAGUCGAACACAAGAAGAAAAACGUGUUUGUAACGCAGCUGGAGGAGCACAGAGAGCGGACCGAGGAGCACGUCCAGCACAUCCCGGUGAUAACAGAGUCCUCCAGCGGGCUCCUGGACACCGGGGUCCACACGCUGCAGACCACACUAGUCCUGAAGAAGCGCUCCGAGGUGGACGCAGUGGACACACGGAUGAUGGACACACGGCAGGAGGUUCAGAGGAGCAUGAAGAUCCUGCAGCAGAGACGAGCGCAGCUGCAGCAGAGACAGACGGAGACGAAACACAGGGCAGUAAGAUUUGAGAAGUUUGUGGAGGAGAACGAGGUGAAACGUCGCCGUGCGCUGAAGAAGUUCCAGACGGAGAGAGAGCAGAACCAAGUGAAAGAACAGGAGAAAGCUGAGCUCUUCAAACAACUCCAGGACUUACAAGCCAGGCGUCUGUAUUUACAGGAGCGAGUGAACAAAUACAAGAUAUUCGAGGAGUUUCUGAUGAAGACUCUCGAUUUACUUCCAGACAAGUAUGUGGGCUACGGGACGGACCUGGUGACGCCGAUCAUCAGACGCUACGAGACGCUGACUGUCAGCCGACAGGACCUCCUGCAGCAGCUGUCCAGCCUGACGGACGAGAUGAAGUCCAGCCAGAACCACAUGGAGUCCCUCAGACAGCAGCACAGCACCUUUAAACUGAUGACCAACCAGGAGCUGUCCGAGCGGCAGACACAGCUGGAUCAACUGAAAGAGAAGAACAAACAGCUGGAAAUGAUGCUCCACAUGCACCUGGGCCAGUCCAGAGACCAGGUGGAGGAGGUCGGGAACAUUUUGAUCGCGGUGAAGAACCUGUCGGAGCAGUGUUACCUGAGUCACUACGGAGCUCUGGACCUCAUGGACACCUCCUCCAUGAUGGACAUGAUAAAGGAAUUCAUCGUAGAGAAAGCCGACAUGGAGAGGAGAGCCACGAGACUCGUAGCCAGCAGCGGCGCGACCGUGAAGAGAACGACCCCGAAGAAGACCCCCAGCAGAAGCGGAGCGCUGACCGCACCGAAGACCCUGCCGUAG
rnacentral:lncRNA from 12 species